CCACUCAGGGCCGGAAAGCUCUCCAAACUCGGUCAUUUAGAGGAAGUAAAAGUCGUAACAAGGUCUCCGUUGGUGAACCAGCGGAGGGAUCAUUACCGAGUUUACAACUCCCAAACCCAAUGUGAACGUUACCAAUCUGUUGCCUCGGCGGGAUUCUCUGCCCCGGGCGCGUCGCAGCCCCGGAUCCCAUGGCGCCCGCCGGAGGACCAACUCAAACUCUUUUUUCUCUCCGUCGCGGCCUACGUCGCGGCUCUGUUUUAUUUUUGCUCUGAGCCUUUCUCGGCGACCCUAGCGGGCGUCUCGAAAAUGAAUCAAAACUUUCAACAACGGAUCUCUUGGUUCUGGCAUCGAUGAAGAACGCAGCGAAAUGCGAUAAGUAAUGUGAAUUGCAGAAUUCAGUGAAUCAUCGAAUCUUUGAACGCACAUUGCGCCCGCCAGUAUUCUGGCGGGCAUGCCUGUCCGAGCGUCAUUUCAACCCUCGAACCCCUCCGGGGGGUCGGCGUUGGGGGAUCGGCCCCUCACCGGGCCGCCCCCGAAAUACAGUGGCGGUCUCGCCGCAGCCUCUCCUGCGCAGUAGUUUGCACACUCGCACCGGGAGCGCGGCGCGGCCACAGCCGUAAAACACCCCAAACUCUGAAAUGUUGACCUCGGAUCAGGUAGGAAUACCCGCUGAACUUAAGCAUAUCAAUAAGCGGAGGAAAAGAAACCAACAGGGAUUGCCCCAGUAACGGCGAGUGAAGCGGCAACAGCUCAAAUUUGAAAUCUGGCCCUUUUGGGUCCGAGUUGUAAUUUGUAGAGGAUGC
rnacentral:rRNA from 1 species